GGAAGGGUUAGUAAUACAUGGGUAACUUGCCUUUAACAGCGGAAUAACGGUUGGAAACGACCGCUAAUACUGCAUGUGGUGAUUCGGGGCAUCCCGGAUUCAUUAAAGUAGGGGAUCGUAAGACCUUGCGGUUAAAGAGAGGCCCAUGAGAUAUCAGCUAGUUGGUGUGGU
rnacentral:rRNA from 1 species